rnacentral:rRNA from 1 species
AACGAACGCUGGCGGCAUGCCUAACACAUGCAAGUCGAACGAGACCUUCGGGUCUAGUGGCGCACGGGUGCGUAACGCGUGGGAAUCUGCCCUUGGGUUCGGAAUAACAGUUAGAAAUGACUGCUAAUACCGGAUAAUGUCUUCGGACCAAAGAUUUAUCGCCCAGGGAUGAGCCCGCGUAGGAUUAGCUAGUUGGUGAGGUAAAGGCUCACCAAGGCGACGAUCCUUAGCUGGUCUGAGAGGAUGAUCAGCCACACUGGGACUGAGACACGGCCCAGACUCCUACGGGAGGCAGCAGUGGGGAAUAUUGGACAAUGGGCGAAAGCCUGAUCCAGCAAUGCCGCGUGAGUGAUGAAGGCCUUAGGGUUGUAAAGCUCUUUUACCCGGGAUGAUAAUGACAGUACCGGGAGAAUAAGCCCCGGCUAACUCCGUGCCAGCAGCCGCGGUAAU